rnacentral:rRNA from 1 species
AGAGUUUGAUCAUGGCUCAGGACGAACGCUGGCGGCAUGCUUAAUACAUGCAAGUCGUGCGGGAAAAGUCUGCAAUUUGACUUCGGUCAAAGCGCUUACUUUUCUAGCGGCGGACGGGUGAGUAACGCGUGGGCAACCUGCCCUAUCGCUCGGGAUAACUCUCGGAAACGAGAGCUAAUACCGGAUGCGGUCUCGAACAUUGCAUGUGAUCGAGACGAAAGGAGCAAUCCGCGAUAGGAUAAACCCACGUCCCAUUAGCUAGUUGGUGAGGUAAAAACUCACCAAGGCGACGAUGGGUAGCCGGCCUGAGAGGGUGUACAACCACACUGGGACUGAGACACGGCCCAGACUCCUACGGGAGGCAGCAGUAGGGAAUCUUGCACAAUGGGCGAAAGCCUGAUGCAGCGACGCCGCGUGGGGAACGAAAACCUUCGGGUCGUAAACCCCUAUCCUCGGGGAAGAUAAUGACGGUACCCGUGGAGGAAGCCCCGGCUAACUACGUGCCAGCAGCCGCGGUAAAACGUAAAAAGCGAGCGUUGUCCGGAAUUACUGGGCGUAAAGGGUGCGUAAACGGUCAUUUAAGUCCUGUGUGAAAUGCCUCGGCUCAACCGAAGAAGGUCAUGGGAAACUGGAUGGCUUGAGUAUCGGAGAGGGUUGCGGAAUUCCCAGUGUAGCGGUGAAAUGCGUAGAUAUUGGGAGGAACACCAGUGGCGAAGGCGGCAACCUGGACGAUUACUGACGCUGAGGCACGACAGCUAGGGGAGCAAACAGGAUUAGAUACCCUGAUAGUCCCAGCCGUAAACGAUGAGUGCUAGGUGUUGCAAAUAUCGACCCCUGCAGUGCCGUAGUUAACGCAAUAAGCACUCCGCCUAAAAAGUACGGCCGCAAGGCUGAAACUCAAAGGAAUUGACGGGGGCCCGCACAAGCGGUGGAGCAUGUUCUUUAAUUCGACGCAACGCGAAGAACCUUACCAGAACUUGACAUCCCGCGAACCUUUUGGAAACAAGAGGGUGCCUUCGGGAGCGCGGAGACAGGUGGUGCAUGGUUGUCGUCAGCUCGUGUCGUGAGAUGUUGGGUUAAGUCCCGCAACGAGCGCAACCCCUACGCUGUGUUGCCAGCACUUCGGGUGGGCACUCACAGGGGACUGCCGGUGAAAAACCGGAGGAAGGUGGGGAUGACGUCAAAUCAUCAUGCCCCUUAUGCUCUGGGCUAGAAACAUGCUACAAUGGCCGGUACAAAGGGAAGCAAAGUCGCGAGGCCAAACAAAUCCCAUAAAGUCGGUCUCAGUUCGGAUUGUAGGCUGCAACUCGCCUGCAUAAAGUAGGAAUCGCUAGUAAUCGCGGGUCAGCAUACCACGGUGAAUCCGUUCCCGGGCCUUGUACACACCGCCCGUCACACCACGAAAGUUUGCAACACCCGAAGCCGGUGGCCUAACCCGCAAGGGAGGAAACCGUCGAAGGUGGGGUAGAUGAUUAAAAUAAAGUCGUAACAAGGUAGCCGU